GCCCCGGUAGUGUAGUCCGGUCAAUCAUCCGGCCCUUUCGAGGCUGGGACACGGGUUCAAAUCCCGUCCGGGGCA
rnacentral:tRNA from 1 species